UACGAAGGGGGCUAGCGUUGUUCGGAAUUACUGGGCGUAAAGCGCACGUAGGCGGAUAUUUUAAGUCAGGGGUGAAAUCCCGGGGGCUCAACCCCGGAACUGCCUUUGAUACUGGGUAUCUCGAGUCCGAGAGAGGUGAGUGGAAUUCCGAGUGUAGAGGUGAAAUUCGUAGAUAUUCGGAGGAACACCAGUGGCGAAGGCGGCUCACUGGCUCGGUACUGACGCUGAGGUGCGAAAGCGUGGGGAGCAAACAGG
rnacentral:rRNA from 1 species